GGGGGGGGGUAUGAAGGAAGGGUUUUCUUGAAAAUAGAAUUAUCUAGAACGAACCAGCAAAAUAUAAAUAGGAGAUUCGUUUAGAAACUAAGUUUCCCUAUUUCAUCAUGAUGCUCGGUUUCAAGCUAAAUGAAUGAAAUUUUGAGGGGGCACAGUGGGCCACAGACCCCCCAAAAACGGCAAUAAUUCGGAUUCAACCCUCAUCGAUGUGCAAUACGUCGAAUAAUACGUUUUCGGGGUCGUGGAAUUCGAAUCUGAACUUAUUUUUUUUGUAGGGGUGGGGGGUGAGGCGUGGGGAGCGGGAAAAUGUCAACUGUUGCUUAUAUUAUCGUGUAAUAUAUCGAUUAAUAUGUUUUCGAGGUCGUAGAGUUCGAAUCUGGCGUUAUUUUUUUUGGUAGAGUUGGAGGGUGAGGCGCGGGGAGGGGGGAUUUCAAAUUUUGCUUGUAUUAUUGUGUAAUAUGUCGAUUGAUAUGUUUUAGAGGUCGUAGAAUUCGAAUCUGCACUUAUUUUUUUUUGUAGGGGUGGGGGUGAGGCGUGGGGAAGUGAAAAAUUCAAAAUUUAAUUUUUGAUGUUUUCUUAUACCACUGAUUUUUAAAGUUUACAGUUUUUUACACAAAAUCAGAACACAUUUUGUAACAAAAUUCAUAUAAUCGCGAAAUAUCGUGUGUUCUCUUCUGCAUAGUGAUGUGUAUUUGGGAGUAGUGUAUACUAUGUUUUAGCGAUUUUUUGCCCGAAAUUGCCCCAUUGCUCUGCAGGUUCAUUUUUCUAUUAAAAAUACAUCAAUUUUCUUCACAAUUGCGGAUAUAUCGCAAUUUUAUGAUCGAAACAUGAUAUAGGUACUCGAUUCAAUUCUGAUUGAAAUACAUUAUUUGAGAUAUAAAAUGAUGUUUUCAAAUCAACGAUAUAAACAACCUCAUAAACAUUACAAACGGCAUCAAAAUUUGGAAUUUUUCACCUCUCCACGCCUCACUUUUAAUCCCUACCAAAAAAAUAACUCCGUAUUCGAACUCUACGACUUCGAAAGCAUAUUAAUCGAUAUAUUACACAAUAAUAUAAGCAAAAUUUGAAAUUUUCACCCUCUCCGCGCCUCACCCCCCACCCCUACAAAAAAAGAAGUGCAGAUUCGAAUUCUACGACCUCGAAAACAUAUCAAUCGACAUAUUACACAAUAAUAUAAGCAAAAUUUGGAAUCCCCCCUCCCCGCGCUUCACCCUCCACCUCUACCAAAAAAAUAACGCCAGAUUCGAACUCUACGACCUCGAAAACAUAUUAAUCGAUAUAUUACACGAUAAUAUAAGCAACAUUUGAAAUUUUCCCGCUCCCCACGCCUCACCCCCCACCCCUACAAAAAAAAUAAGUUCAGAUUCGAAUUCCACGACCUCGAAAACGUAUUAUUCGACGUAUUGCACAUCGAUGAGGGCUGAAUCCGAAUUAUCGCCGUUUUUGGGGGGGGCUGUGGCCCACUGUGGGGAGUAAAGAGACAUCCUAUGUGCUUCAUUUAAGACCAUGUACAUGUUGUUGAAACCUCCAUCCAGAGAUGUGCUUCGCAGUAUCACCAAAUUUUUGAAAAUUGGCGGUAAAAUCCCAACUGAAAUUCAUCCGCAGUUGAAUAGUCAGUGAAAUAUCGUGGGCUGCGUAAUGUCGCGGGCAGUCUAUAUAUGUAUAAACGUGCAUUGCAAGUGUGUAUUGUUGUAAAAAUAAAAAUGUUUCUAAUUUUAUGACUAGUUUGUUGUGAACAAGUCUCCUUAAUUAGACCUUAUCGGCGAAUUUUUCCAAACUGAUAAUAGCUUAUCGUGCUUACGAGUAUGCAUUAUGCAGUGGCAUAUGCGUUAAUGUUCUUGGGUGUUGGUUGGUAUUAAAAUCGUUGCAUUCGAAGUGAAACUUAGGUGUUUAAGGUUGUAUAAAAACAAAAUUUUGCAUUACAUAAAAUAUGGAUACGAGUAAUUUAUAUAGUGUUCAGUACUUAGAUCGCGUGUUCUACUUGGCUUUAGGGACGUUUGUUUUGGGGAUACUUUUAUUCAUUGCACCAUUUGUGAAAGAUCAUUAUAUAAAUCAUCCGUUUUGGCGUUAUCAAUCGUGGCCCUGGUGGGUGAAGAUGUUGAUUGAACUGAAAAGACGACCAGGGUUCAUGUUCUUCUAUAACUGUUUUUCGACGCUAACCUCGUUCCUAUUUAUUGGAAUGAUUCUGCAUUAUGAGAGACUAUUCUAUCAAACCGCCGAAACUGGAACAUCCGUUAAUACUAUUUAACAUCUACAAUCUACAAUUUAUUAGAAGAAUUGAAAUUGACUUGUUUUCCAAAGCAUUAUUCAAUGAUGUUAACGAAAAGCAAUUUGAUGUGUCAUACGUGUAUUUAAAAAAAGUAUCUGUUUCUGUUUAGUAAGUGUGCAUUAAUUUAAAAUUUUAUAUUUUUUUGUAACUCAUCAUAUUGUAAGGUACCUACUUGCUAUGUUUGUAUCAUAUUUUUGAUGUUUUUUAUGAAUAAAAAAAUAAGAAAUUA